UAGGGAAUCUUCCGCAAUGGACGCAAGUCUGACGGAGCAACGCCGCGUGAGUGAAGAAGGAUUUCGGUUCGUAAAACUCUGUUGUUAGAGAAGAACAGCGCAUAGAGUAACUGUUAUGCGUGUGACGGUAUCUAACCAGAAAGCCACGGCUAACUACGUGCCAGCAGCCGCGGUAAUACGCAGGUAGCAAGCGUUGUCCGGAUUUAUUGGGCGUAAAGCGAGCGCAGGCGGUCAAUUAAGUCUGAUGUGAAAGCCCCCGGCUCAACCGGGUAGGGUCAUUGGAAGCUUGUUGACUUGAGUGCAGAAGAGGAGGGUGGAAUUCCAUGUGUAGCGGUGACAUGCGUAGAUAUAAGGAGGAACACCAGUGGCGAAGGCGACUCUCUGGUCUGUAACUGACGCUGAGGUUCGAAAGCGUGGGUAGCAAACAGG
rnacentral:rRNA from 1 species